UAAGACCGUGAGACCCAUUUCUUCAAACUCAUCAUUCCAAGUAUGAAUCAUCAGAAUUUAUCUUGAUCUUUCGACACUUUCAAUGAUUCCAGAAAAAGACUGUUUGGUUAUUAAACGUUGAAGUUGAUUGAGUUUCUCCAUCGACUAAAUUUGUCAAAUUGGAGCUUUCCCCUAAAAAAAAUUGGACUAUCAUGUAUUUGAAUAUAAAUAAGGUACCAGUGUUGUGAUGGUUGUAGGAUGAGGUGGUUGCUUGAGAGUAUCA